UACGUAGGGGGCAAGCGUUGUUCGGAAUUACUGGGCGUAAAGGGCGCGUAGGCGGCACGGCAAGUCGGGAGUGAAAGCCCGGGGCUCAACCCCGGAGGGUCUUCCGAGACUGCCGAGCUAGAGUGCGGAAGAGGCAACCGGAAUUCCCAGUGUAGCGGUGAAAUGCGUAGAUAUUGGGAAGAACACCAGAGGCGAAGGCGGGUUGCUGGGCCGACACUGACGCUGAGGCGCGAAAGCCAGGGGAGCAAACGGG
rnacentral:rRNA from 1 species